GAAAAGUCAUAGAUACCAUAUCAUUUCAUUUCAAUUUACAAUUUGGUUUUGCAUAAAACAUUUGCAUCAAAGUCAUGGUCAUGAUCAUGGUAGAGAGGGAAUUCCGUUCGAGUUCGCUGGUCGAAGUCAUUUGGAGUGCUCCUAUGACUCGACGUGGUCGUUGUAUCUUUGAAGAUGAUUACCGGAUAACCGUUAGCAUCGAUGCGGGGCAAAUUCAUCUUAAGGACAAAGUGUCCAACACUUGCCUCGGCCAAAAAUCCGUCAUUUGCAUCUUCCUUCUUCAUUUUCUGAUUCCUUUUAUUAUGAUUUGAUUUCAGAAAAUGAUUAACGUUAUUUAUAUGUUUAUCCUGCAAGGUUUGAUCCAAAGAAUUACUUGCUUUCGAUCAUGAGUUGAAAGGGAAGAAUCCAUAUUCAGGUAUUCGGAUUUGAUAAAUUCUUAUUUUGUCUUCUUAAAUCCAAGUUGGAAUACGUUUCGAUUUCAUGCAAAUAAACGAUAUGUUUAUUGUGAAUAUAAUAUGGACAAUUAUCGGUGUAUUUUUUCAACAAUCUUAAGAUGAAUUUUGCUGCAUUUUAUAUUCUAAUUCUCUCUAGAAUCUGGGAAUUUUCAUGGUGUAAGCACAUAAACGUGUAAAAUUUUAAUUGGGGAUUGUAUACUUAUAUUGAUGGUGUAUUGCAUCUGCCAAAUUGAUGCCAUUAAAUUCCUGAUAUUUUAUUCUUUUUACCAUGAAACAUAAUUCUGCAGAAAUCUGAAAUCUAUAAACCAAUUUUACUUGGGUAUUUCCUUAUUAAUUUUGCAUGAAAUGAUGGAUUUAUUAAUGUGGAUGUAUCCAUUAAAUUCUGGGAAAGGGUCAUGUAAUGGUUGUCAUAAUCAUUUCAUAUAUGCUACAAGUGCAUAUGACUACUCACUUUUAGAUGGAAAAGCAUGUGUAAUUAAAUGCAUAUAUUGCUGCAAUUACUGAAUUAAUUGGGUGUUUGAAUAGGAGAACACUAAAUUGGACGUAUAAGUAUAACAGUUUAUCAAAUUAAUUACGUUGUCCAUGUCCGUUCAAAUUAUAUAGUAAAUCAGAUGAUCGUUGGGCAUGGAAAUUAUAUAUGAAAGUCAUUAACUUCUGAAAUGGUGUGAACCUAUUGAAAUUGUGUAGCAGUAUAUUCCUUUGGUAUGACAUGCCUAAAUUCGGUUUGUUGUCGAAUAUUUGUCUGAUCAGGAAAUUGCAAAUUAGUUCUAUAUAAUUCAUUAAAUAAUUGGUAGAUGAUGUUACCAUGGUUGAAUGGUAAAAAAAAAAAAAAAGUGGUUAAGGGAUAAAAUAUUUCCUCCCACAUCCGUUCAUUGUUUUAAAUGCAUGGACAUGUAGUUCUAAAAGCACUUUACUAGAUGGCAAUAUAAUAUGAAAAUACUUGGGCUGCCGUGAGAUAGGUAAAGAUGUUUGGAAUAAUGUGACUUUUCAUUUUAAAUGCAAUGAAAACAGUUUGUGGUGGCUUUUGAUUGGAAAAACAUAUAUAAAUGCAUUCUUUUAAUAUUCAUACAGAAAUGAAUAAGACAGAAUAUGGAUUUGUCAUUACAAGUCCGAUGGAAUUCUGCAAACUGUUAAGUACAUGAAGGGUUAUUUAGUAAUUAAUUACUUCAUAAUUCAAAAAGUUAUGUUAUAAUAGCCGGCGCUUUGUUUGGAAUGAUUAUACAAAUAUGCAUGGAAGAAAUCUAUAUUCCUUCGAUUGGAUAGGCAACUUUGUUGGAUGUCUAUAUGAUAAUCACGAAAAGCGGAUAUGGAAUGUGACAUUAUAGUGUCAUUUGUAUAGAUAUGAAUUUCAAAUAGUGAAUUCAUUUGGUGAAUUCAUACAGGGAUUUGGAUUUCGGAUAGACAUUUUGGUCUGUAUAUGCAAAUUUGGUAUAUACUAUAAGUUGCAUAUAAGAUGAAUAUACGGUAUGCUGGUGUAAAUACGAUAAUCUGUUGCAAAUACAGUAAAAUGUAUAUACGGUAUACUACAAAUACAAUAAGCCGCUAUACGUUAAGUUGUAUAUACGGCGAGCGGCAUAUACGGUAAGCGACAUAUACGGUAAGUCGCAUAUAUGAUAAGGUACAUAUACGGCAUGUGUCAAUCCGAUAAAUAAUAUAUACGGUAUGAAGUUGUAAAUCCAGAAUAUGUCCAUGGAUUUUGGUUUGAAAAUUACACAAACCUUGAUUAAUGAUGAUAGCCUCAAUUAAUUUUAUGAAAUUAAAUGAGAUGACUUAUCCAAAAUUAUAGUUGCAUAAGAGUGACAAAAUGUGGUUUUGUCCUAAUCAUUUGAAAGUGAAAAUUGCUUGGCCAAUUAUUAGGAUAUAAAAAUAGUUUAUAGAGCACAAAUUGUGUCUGUAGUUGGCGGUGAUGCCGGAUAUCCUUGAAAAUAAUGAUUGUAAAUUAACAUUCAUUUGUAAAGGAUAAAACUAUCUUAUGGAGAAAGUCAUAUAUGUUCGGAUAAGUUGCAAGUCUUAUGAAUCCAGGUGCUUAGUCUUUUUCAUUAUUGAAAUUGACUUCAAUCGUUGAACCAAUUAAAUUGGUUAUUGAAAUUGACUUCAAUCGUAAAACCAAUUAAGUAGGUUUAUGCUUGGAAAAGCGUUCUUGGUCUAGUGACGACCUUAAUGAUGACCUUGAUUAAUUUGGAAGAUCAAAUUAAUAUGAUUGAUUGAAGUACAAUUUUGAAUGAAAAAUGAUUUUUCAUACAACGACCACAAUUUUGAAAGUGCUUAGACUUUCACUCGAAUCGAAUAUUAUCUAAGUGAUAAAUGGAUUGAACUAUGAAAGAGUUGAUGAACUCUAAGUUCAAGAAUAACCCAAAAAUGUGGGGGUUAUCAUAAAUACUUGAGAACUUAUGUGAAAAUUUCAAGACGUGUGGGUGCAACACUACCACUUGCGCAUAUAUUUCUAAUUCAGGAAUUGUGGAGGUACCUCUCAAGAAAAUGAAAGAGACUCCAUAUGAGUUAUGGAAAUGUCAUCCUUCUUCCUACCAGCACUUAAAAGUGUGUGGGUGUUUAGCAAAGGUUGAUGUUCCUAAGCCUAAACAAAUAAAGGGGUGUUUGGCAAAGAUUGAGGUUCAUAAGCCUAAACAAAUAAAGAUUGGUCCCUAAACGAUUGAUUGCAUAUUUAUUGGAAACGUCAAUAAUAGUAGUGCAUACCGUUUACUUGUACACAAAUCAGAUGUACAAGAGGGUACCAUAAUUGAGUCAAGGAAUGCGAUAUUAUUUGAGAAUGUGUUUCCUUGCAAGAAAAGGAAAAUGUAAGUUUGAAUAAAAGAACAUAUGAAACUACAAAUGGGUUUUCAAAUGAGGAAGAGCUAAUGCGUAGUAAGAGGGCUAGAAUGUCCACUUCGUUGGUCCGAAUUUUCUCACAUAUAUGAUAGAAAAUGACCCAAAGACUUCUGAAGAAGUAAUGUUUAUUUCGGAAGCACCGCAUUGGAAGGAAGCUAUCAAUAGUGAGAUAGAUUCCAGAAUGCAAAUUCAUACAUGGGAAUUGGUAGAUAUACCUCUCGGAAAUAAGCCUUAGGGUAUAAAUGGAUUAAAACCUGAUUGAUCCAUUAAUAAAUAUAAGGCUAGAUUGGUUGCCAAAGGAUAUAGGCAGGAAGAUGGAUUUGAUUUCUUUACCUAUUCACCUGUGAAUAGAAUCACUUCGAUAAGGUUACUAAUUGCAACUGCGGCAAUACAUAACCUUGAGAUUCACCAAAUAGAUGUGAAAAUGGGAUUCCUAAACAGUGAGUUAGAAGAAGAGAUAUACAUAGAGCAAACUAAAGGUGUCUCCAAGUGAAAACCACAAAGUUUGUAAACUUGUUGAGUCCUUAUAUGGACUGAAAUAAGCUCCCGGCACCAAAAGUUUGACAAAACAAUGUUGUCAAAUGAGUUCAAAAUAAAUGAAUGUGACAAGUAUUUAUGCAUGGAAAAUACACCAGAUGCGUAUGUGUUUGUAUGUAGUCAAUAUGUUGAUAAUGGGUAAUAGUCACGAAGUGGUGCUAAACGCCAAGAAAAUGCUUACGAAGCAUUACGACAUGAAAGACUUGGGUAUGAUAAAUGUAAUACUAGAGAUAAAAAUCUCUAGAACAUCGGAAAGAAUUGUACUUUCCUAAUCUCAUUUGUUGAGAAAAUAUUUAAAAAGUUUGAAGUAUUGACACAAGUCUACACUUGGUCAAAAUAAGAGUAAAAGCAUGUCACAACUGAGAUAUUCACAAGUAAUUAGCAAUCUAAUGUAUAUUACGAAAUGCACUAGACCGGAUAAUGCUUAUGCUGUGAAUAAACUUGAAGAUUCACGAGUAAUCCAGGCAUGAUUAUUGGGUGGCAUUGACAGGGGUCCUUAGGUAUUUGAAAUAUACCAUGGCCUGUGGAUUACAUUUCACAAGAUAUCCUGCGAUAUUGAAAGGAUAUUGUGAUGUGAUGAUAUAGACUAAAUCUAAAGUGGAUGAAAUGGGAUGAAAGCCCUAAAGUGGAUGAAAUGGGAUAAAAGUCGACCAUGACGGUUGUUUGGAUAUACAAGAACAAUUGGAAUAAUUGAGAAUAUUCAUAAAGUUCGAAUGCAUUGCAAUGCUUUAAUGAUGAUAUUGAAUACCCAUGUAUGAAAUCUACUAGUAAAUAUGAUUGACUAGUGUAACAGUUUGUUAGAAAUCCUCCAACAUUGUUGUUUGGAAUUGAUAAAGCUUUAAAUAAAGCUAAUGAGAAGCAUGUAGUUUCAUGAAAGGAUUUCUUAGUUGGUGACAAUGUGUAUCUAUCAAAUGAAUCGAUCGUUGGCUAGCUAAAUUUGAAAAGAUACUAAGUCACAUAUAAUGGUAAGUCUAGACAUGUAUGUCGUAGACACAAUAUGAUAAGCAAUUGAUCUCAUUGGUGUAAACUUGUGGAUCCAUUUAUAUAUGUUUACUAAGAGAUCAAGUAUAUUGCAUAUCAAAGGGAAUGAGAUUAGGCCUAUUGAGUAAGAUCUUUAUAACGGUAACCCUACCAUGUUGACUGGAGAUCCCAAGAUCUUGGUUCAAANNNNNNNNNNNNNNNNNNNNNNNNNNNNNNNNNNNNNNNNNNNNNNNNNNNNNNNNAGGUUAAGAUAAACUUUUAAUGAUUCUUAUAUUUUGAUUAAAUCAAGUGGAGUAGGGCAAAAUACUCUUAAUAGAAGAUCACCUAUGUAAGUGUGAAGUGGGGCCGCUUCAAUGAGAAUUAUUCAAGGCUUGAAUUCUCUAAACACUUACAGAACCAAGGUGGGUUCAAGGCCAAAAUGAACCAAGUCAUAAGAACCAUGAAUGGUUUAUGGGAGACAUUGUGUGAGUACUGUUGUCUUGGUUUAUACUAAUGGCUGAUGGUUCAAGAAUAUCGCGUUCACCAAUUAGCUAGUAAAUCUGAUGGUAUUUCACUAAGGAAGGUUUAAAGCCAGAAGCUACCUUACCUGAUGCAGUGUUUUCCCGCUCUCUCUCUCUACUAGUGUCUGCAUAGACAUUUGUAUUAAUUUUCAUUCAUGUGGGGGAUUGUUGGAAUUUUGUAUGUAAAAUUGGUUUACAUAAUUAUUUAAGUGAAAUUCUUAAUUUGGUGAAUGAGAAAUUAAGCAAAAUAUAAAGUCGCUUAAUACUUGAAAUUAUUGAAAAAUCGUAUAGAAUAUUGUGAAAUAUUCUAGAUAUAUGUGGAUGAAAAGUGUAUCUUUUCAUGUGAAAGAUCAUGACUCUUGGUAUGGGUAUGAUUAAUUUCCAAUAAUUGUGUCUCUUAAUGUAUAGAAAUAAAUUCCAAGAGAUGUGACUCUUGGUAUGAUUAUGUCUUUUGACAUACCUUUCCAACUACUAUAUAUAAACCCAAUAUGUUUGAAUUUUAUAAUUCAAGAAAUUCAAGAAAAGUCAUAGAUACCAUACCAUAUCAUUCCAUUUCAAUUUACAAUUUGGUUUUGCAUAAAAUAUUUGCAUCAAAGUUAUGGUCCUGAUCAUGGUAGAGAGGGAAUUCCGUUCGAGUUCGCCAGUCAAAGUCAUUUGGAGUGGUCCUAUGAUUCGAUGUGGUCGUUGUAUCUUGGGAGAUGAUUGUCGGAUAACCGUUAGCACCGAUGCGGGGCAAAUUCAUUUUAAAGACAGUAUCCAACACUUGCCUCGACCAAAAAUUCGUCGUUUGCAUCUUCUUUCUUCAUUUUCUGAUUCCUUUUAUUAUGAUUUGAUUUUAGAAAAUGAUUAACGUUAUUUAUAUGUUUAUCCUGCAAGGUUUGAUCCAAAGAAUUACUUGCUUUCGAUCAUGAGUUGAAAGGGAAG
rnacentral:lncRNA from 1 species